rnacentral:rRNA from 1 species
UUCCAGCUCCAGUAGCGUAUAUUAAAGUUGUUGCAGUUAAAAAGCUCGUAGUUGGAUUUCUGGUAUGAGAGGUCUGGCCCGCCACGGUUACGUGCGUGUGCGCCGGAUGUUCUCUACCAUCUUUCUAGUUUUCUGCCCUACCAUUCAUUUGGCCUGGGCUCAGAGACUGGAUCUUUUACUUUGAAAAAAUUAGAGUGUUUAAAGCAGGCGUUUGUCAUUUGAAUACAUUAGCAUGGAAUAAUAAUCUAGGACUUAGUUCUUAUUUUGUUGGUUUCUAAGAAUCAGGUAAUGAUUGAUAGGGAUAGUUGGGGGUGCUAGUAUUCAACGGCCAGAGGUGAAAUUCUUGGAUUCGUUGAAGACUAACUUAUGCGAAAGCAUUCACCAAGGAUGUCUUCAUCA